rnacentral:rRNA from 1 species
UAGUGAACCUGCGGAAGGAUCAGU